CAGUACCACGGUAAUACGAAGGGGGCUAGCGUUGUUCGGAUUUACUGGGCGUAAAGCGCACGUAGGCGGAUCGAUCAGUCAGGGGUGAAAUCCCAGAGCUCAACUCUGGAACUGCCUUUGAUACUGUCGAUCUGGAGUAUGGAAGAGGUGAGUGGAAUUCCGAGUGUAGAGGUGAAAUUCGUAGAUAUUCGGAGGAACACCAGUGGCGAAGGCGGCUCACUGGUCCAUUACUGACGCUGAGGUGCGAAAGCGUGGGGAGCAAACAGGAUUAGAUACCCCAGUAGUCCCUGUCUCUUAUACA
rnacentral:rRNA from 1 species